rnacentral:pre_miRNA from 8 species
CACAGCUGUCUGUGUCAUUUUUGUGGUUUGCAGCUAGUAGUCUGGUUCCAGUUGCAUAGUCACAAAAAUGAGCACAGACAGAUGUG